UACAGAGGUGGCAAGCGUUGUUCGGAAUUACUGGGCGUAAAGGGCGAGUAGGUGGCCAUCUAAGUCAGACGUGAAAUCCCCCGGCUUAACCUGGGAACUGCGUCUGAUACUGGACGGCUUGAGUAUGGGAGAGGAACGUAGAAUUCCAGGUGUAGCGGUGAAAUGCGUAGAUAUCGGGAGGAACACCAGUGGCGAAGGCGGUUGCCUGGGGCUUUGCUGACGCUGAUGCGCGAAAGCGUGGGGGAGCGAGUCCGG
rnacentral:rRNA from 1 species